rnacentral:rRNA from 1 species
CCUACGGGUGGCAGCAGUGAGGAAUAUUGGUCAAUGGGCGCGAGCCUGAACCAGCCAAGUAGCGUGAAGGAUGACUGCCCUCCGGGUUGUAAACUUCUUUUAUAAAGGAAUAAAGUGAUGCACGUGUGUCUUUUUGUAUGUACUUUAUGAAUAAGGAUCGGCUAACUCCGUGCCAGCAGCCGCGGUAAUACGGAGGAUCCGAGCGUUAUCGGGAUUUAUUGGGUUUAAAGGGAGCGUAGAUGGGUUGUUAAGUCAGUUGUGAAAGUUUGCGGCGCAACCGUAAAAUUGCAAUUGAUACUGGCAGACUUGAGUACAGUAGAGGUAGGUGGAAUUCGUGGUGUAGCGGUGAAAUGCUUAGAUAUAACGAAGAACUCCGAUUGCGAAGGCAGCCUACUAAACUGCAACUGACAUUGAUGCUCGAAAGUGUGGGUAUCAAACAGGAUUAGAUACCCUUGUAGUC